GGAAGUAAAGUCGUAACAAGGUUUCCGUAGGUGAACCUGCGGAAGGAUCAUUAAUGAGUUGUCAUGGGGUUCGAUGCUGGCAGCCAAUUUUUGGAUGCAUGUGCUUGCCCUAACAAUCAUCUUCCAAACACCUGUGCACAUUUUUGAGGGAGCCUUGAGUUGGUUGCCGCUCUUGGGUGAUUUUCUCACAUUCCCUUAAAUCAUAUACGCUAUUAACAAUGUUGAACGUGCUCUGUGCCGCAAGGCUAUUAAUAUAAUACAACUUUUAACAACGGAUCUCUUGGCUCUC
rnacentral:misc_RNA from 1 species